rnacentral:lncRNA from 1 species
CAGUACACAAUUUUCUUUGAUAUCAAAUAAUUCAACAUGAUUUUAUUAUUGGACAGGAAAACAAAUGCAACCCCAUUGUAAGAAAUUCAGGAAGAGCUAUAAGAUCAGAUUUGAAAUCAUCACUAGGAAACGUGUGAUUCUUUUUAUUUAUGUGUGUAAAUAAAUUCACCAACAUAAAGAAAAUAAAUAAUUAAUGAUUUUAGUAACUAGAAAAAAUAGCCCCACUUUGAAACAUGACACAUGAACUAAUCCAAUCUCAAACAGUUAUCAGAUUCCUGUGAAUCGUUUUGAAUAGCUACUUUUGCAGCAGGGACCGGCGGGGAGCGGUCCAUGGUGCAUUUGAAGGUGGUGCUGCUUGAGGGGCCGGUGUAGGUGAGGGUACAGGAGACCAAUUUAUCUCUGAUGCCUGCACGCUAGCAACCCAUGGUGCAUUUGAAGGAGGUGCGGCUUCAGGGGCUGGUGUAGGUGAGGGCGAGGGCACCGGAGACCAAGUUAACUCUGAUGUCUGCACGCUAGCAGCCCAUGGUGCAUUUGAAGGCGGUGCUGCUUCAGGGGCCGGCACAGGUGAGGGUGAGGGGGAGGCUGAAGGUGAGGAGGGUGCUGGAUACCAACCAUCUUGUUUUGGUAAAACAUU